GUGAUGAGCUCCGGUCGCUGCUAGAGCUUCCUGCGGGCUUAGGAUAUCUGUGCGUCACUUGUCUGAGUCUUGGACUGCCACAACUUCUUAGCCACAAGGCCCUCAUCCACCUAGAAAAACUCCAUCUUGAGGUACGCCAUUUACUUGAAGACAUCCACAAGCUUUCCUCAAUACCACUGAAACUCUGUUUUGAGGAGUGGGAUAAGCUGACAUCACUUACGCUCAGCGGACUCAUGCACUUUGAAGAGCUUUCAAUAAAAAAGUGCAGUUCCUUGGAGUUCAUAUCUUUACAGGACUGCAAUUCCAUUGAAAGGCUUCGCUGUCUAGAAUUACCGUGUUUGAAGGAAUUAAAGGCUGUUGGGUGCGGCAAUCUAGUCAAAAUUGAAGGUCUUGAUGGUGCAGAGUUCUUAGAAAAGUUGGAUUUUGGGGGAUGCAAAUCAAUGGAGACUUUGCCAGAUUUGACGGGAUGUGAGAAGUUACGAUCUCUAAGAGUUCGAGACUGCAAGAAACUUACUCAGCUUUAGGGACUUGAAAUGUUGAAUUUAAUUGAUUUGGAUAUUUCUGGUUGUGACUCAUUGGAAGCAAUACCGAAAUUAUCCGGAACCCGCAUCUUUAGAAAUUAUGAACUGUUUUGAGUUCUCUAUGGAAAUAUUAUCUUGCAGUGAUAAUGAUGUGAGGAAUCUUAUACCCAUAUUACAACAGUGAGACUAGUCAUGUUUCUUCAACAGAGGAUUCUGUACUUUCCUAAAUUGCUGGUCUUGCACAAUUGAAGGAGUGGAGGAGUUGGUCAUAGAAGCUCACAUGAUGGUUCAGCCAAGAUCAAAAUGUAGACCCAAAUGUCAAUAGAAGGCAUAGUUUGGUUGGUCUAUGUAAUGAUCAAGGCUUACUUUGGGACUUAAAUUCAAUCAGCUGUAUUGAUGACCUUUUGCAUAACUGGACAAUUUUUUGCCCAUCUGUGAAACAAGCUGGGGUGAGGAGCUCAAGAAUUUGCUAAUUAGUUUACAUCCCAUUUGAUCAUAUUGUUGUCAUGGAAUUAUUUUAUCACAUGACUAAAUUGGGUGUGGCUCACUUGGUUGAGGAACUUCAAAUUCCAUACUUGAGACCAAUUUUGCAGAGAAAGCAUCAGCAACAGUUGAGGUGCCAAACUUGAAGAGGCUCGUGGGCCAAGCGGAAUGUUCUGAGGAAGUUUUGAUGCUUGUGAAGAUCCAAAACACUUCAUCUGGUCUCAACAGCAUAACCUGAAUGAUAGUAAAUAGUUGUUUGAUGUGGUUGCAUUCUAAGGAUAUCAUUCCAAAACCCGAUGAGGCUAUGCAGAGUUCUCAUGUUUGCAGUAUUGAAUUAGUGAAGUUGAAACUGACCUCCUCACAAUCUAUCCCGAAUUGCUGAUUUUUGCUGAUUGGAUAUUGCCAAUCAUCAAGUAACAAAUUCAAGCUGCAUUUCAUGGAACUUGGAGAAAGUCCCCAAACACCACACGAUGGAGAUGCUUUCAGGAAUGAGCUAUGUCAUUAUGAAAAUGUAUUCUGAACCUAGUGGCGUUUAUCUUGUGCUCCGUGUUGUUAAUACUCUUCAAAGGAUUCUGGAUAUGAAGCAGCCUCUUCUCAUGUGGGGUAUUUGUCCUUUGCAAGCACAAAUCGCUUGCAGGAAGACCGCACGUGCAGGUGGUUUUAUUUGUGCAAGUUAAGCAUAAAAUGAGAUUUGUCGACGAGAUUACCAGUUAGAUGUCCACUUCAGGCUACAAUUUUGCGACUAGAAAAAGCGAAUGCCAUGGAAUCAACAAAAAAUCUGUCAAUUGCAGCCAAGAGUUUCAAUGAAAAGGUUUACAAGAAGACAGUAGUUUCUCAUUUGGUUGAAUUUUGAAGACAAAAGAAAGGUGUUCAGUAGUGUAAAAUCAUCUCUCUGGUCUGCUGUUACAGCAGAAAAUUCAUAUGUCCGCAUUUUGGAAUCACUUUUAUUGUAUAAUCUCAAACUUGAUUUAUUUAA